AUGGGUCAGCCAGCUGCCGACACAACUGAUCUAUCUGCUCGGGGACCAUCACAUUCCCAUUCCUCUAUCAAGAGAGAUGCUGCAAGGCUCUUCUUGAGGAAGUCCAGCUAUGUGAUUGCCUUGAGGGGUAACAAGGAUCUUCCUAUGGAAAUCCAACAUGGUGAUUGCCUCGAGGGGCGACAAGGAUUUUCUUAUGGAAAUCCAGCAUUAUGA